AGAUGGUGGGAAAGGAAACGGGAUUCCCUACCCUAAAAAAUGUGUGUCAUGAUGACUUAUGGUCUUCGUUCACUUGUUACCUGGAGUGCCUGGAGAUGGAGGAGGUAGUAUGCUGUGCUGAGUGCAAAGGGGAUCUGGCCUACAGCUGCAGGCCCAGGGCUGAACUCCCACAGCUCCCUUGCUGCGGAGCUGAAACCUAGCAUGUGAUGUGGUACCCUUUCUUCAAGAGAGACAGGCCCUUCCUUGGAGCAGGAUGGCAGUGGAAUGCUACCAGCUGCACCCCCGCACAUGUACCCUGGGUCUGCCUGGGGUCUCUUUGUUCCUUUUUCCCUCUUGGAGGGAAAACCACCAAGGAUAGCAGCAGUGAUACCAUGUUCAUUCUCCUGUUAGGUGACACUGCUGAGUGUGGAGAUGACUGCCCUAAAAGAGGAGAGAGACCGACUCAGAGUCACAUCUGAGGACAAGGAGCCAAAGGAGCAGCUUCAGAAGGCCAUCAAGGACCGUGACGAGGCCAUUGCAAAGAAGAACGCUGUGGAGCUGGAACUCGCCAAGUGCAGGAUGGAUAUGAUGUCUCUGAACAGCCAGUUGCUGGAUGCCAUUCAGCAGAAACUGAACCUCUCGCAGCAGCUGGAAGCUUGGCAGUUUGCUUCCUCAGGGCUUUUUACUAUCUGGCUCCUUUGGUUUCUGAUCUAGUGGCCUUUCUCAGUUCCCGUAUCAACAGCUUUAGUUGUACACCCCUCCUGCCUUUGAGGAUGACAUGCACAGGGUCAUUGACCGGCAGCUGAUGGACACGCACCUGAAGGAACGGAGCCAGCCAGCUGCUGCCCUCUGCAGGGGCCACAGCGCUGGGCGGGGGGAUGAGCCCAGCACCGCUGAAGGCAAACGACUCUUCUCAUUCUUCAGGAAAAUUUAAGUUGGGAGGAGUGAGGCCACCAAAGAUGGGUGGACCGGAGGCAGCUGGAAAAGCAGUGCUGGCGAGGCCUCCCCUGCGGCUCGCACCUCAGCAGCUGCCCUCCCCCUCAUGCUGGGGCCCCAUGGGUCUGGGAGGGCCUGCUCCCUUUCAUUGGUGAGAAUGGAGACCUAGAGGUGGGGCCUGCCUUGGCCACUGAAGGCUUCCCUCGGCCACCGCCUGGCCAAGCCCACGCCUGGGCUUCUCCAGGAUCCCCUGCUUGAGCAGGGUUAGGCCACCUCCCAGAGGGCCCCUUGGUGUUGGGCUUUGCUGCUCAUCCCUAACAGAUCGCAGCCCACCCCCAGGCACUGCUGCCUCCUCUAUUUUAGCAAAUGGGGAACAGAAGGAAUGGAGGCCCUUCUCUGCAUGCCUCAGGAGGCCCGAGCCCCGGGGGCCUAGUCCUGUGGGGGCAGUGGGCCAGGCCUAAGCCUCCAUUCCUUCCCCAGCCCCUGGCCCAGGGUCGAAGGGGAGAUGGCAGCCCCUCCCCUGCGUGCAUGCACCUCGGCUGGCAGGAGGCCAAGCCUCUGGCCGCAAGGUCUAAGAGCUGGCACUUACCCAAGCUCAGCUGAGGCCACCCGAGCCCCAGGGAGGAAGAAGGCCCUGUCCCCCGGUCGCCACUGCUCUCCCUCCCAGCCUCCAGUCUCUGCCCCUUAGCAGGGCCGGGCCAGGCAGAAUGUUGUCACCAGUCAUCUGCAGGCUUUAGCCAUCCAACCCUUUCCCCUGCUCAGGGCUGGGGCUGGAUGGGGUCUCCUCCUCCCACAGUUCCCUCCUCCACUCCUCACAUACAUAUCUUUUUGGCCCAGCCAAACAAGCCCAGGCCACAGAAUGGAACCAGAGGGGUCUGGUCAGCCACCCCACCUUGAGGGCAGCACAGGCACCACAGGGUGGAGGAGAGGGGGAAGCUGCUGGAAGCCUCCAGAUGCCUGCUGGCCUGCAGGAGAAACCUGUAGCAGCUGCUGCUCCUGCCUCUGCAGCUGCCCCACCUCUUCCACCCAGGCCCCAACUCAGAGGCUCCGCAGCCGGCCAGCCCUCAGCUGCUCACAACUGAUUCAGUCUCCCUCCCUCACAUGGGGAAAGCACAGCAGGGAUGCGCGGCAAGAAUGUACCUGUAGAUGUGUACAUACCACAGUGCUGUAAUUUUGUAUGUAGCAAUCA